rnacentral:rRNA from 1 species
CCUACGGGAGGCAGCAGUGAGGAAUAUUGGUCAAUGGGCUUACGCCUGAACCAGCCAAGUCGCGUGAGGGAAGACUGCCCUAUGGGUUGUAAACCUCUUUUGUCAGGGAGCAAUUGGCGCUACGUGUAGCGUUAUCGAGAGUACCUGAAGAAAAAGCAUCGGCUAACUCCGUGCCAGCAGCCGCGGUAAUACGGAGGAUGCGAGCGUUAUCCGGAUUUAUUGGGUUUAAAGGGUGCGUAGGCGGAAUGCCAAGUCAGCGGUAAAAUCGCGGGGCUCAACCUCGCUCCGCCGGUGAAACUGGCGGUCUUGAGUGGGCGAGAAGUAUGCGGAAUGCGUGGUGUAGCGGUGAAAUGCAUAGAUAUCACGCAGAACUCCGAUUGCGAAGGCAGCAUACCGGCGCCCAACUGACGCUGAAGCACGAAAGCGUGGGUAUCGAACAGGAUUAGAUACCCCGGUAGUC